UACGUAGGGUGCAAGCGUUGUCCGGAAUUAUUGGGCGUAAAGAGCGUGUAGGCGGCCAGGUAGGUCCGUUGUGAAAACUCGAGGCUCAACCUCGAGACGUCGGCGGAAACCCUCUGGCUAGAGUCCGGAAGAGGAGAGUGGAAUUCCUGGUGUAGCGGUGAAAUGCGCAGAUAUCAGGAAGAACACCCGUGGCGAAGGCGGCUCUCUGGGACGGUACUGACGGCUGAGACGCGAAAGCGUGGGGAGCAAACAGG
rnacentral:rRNA from 1 species